rnacentral:rRNA from 1 species
GACGAACGCUGGCGGCGUGCUUAACACAUGCAAGUCGAACGGUGAAGCGCCUUCCUUUUUGGUGGGUGUGGAUGAGUGGCGAACGGGUGAGUAACACGUGAGUAACCUGCCCCCUUCUUCUGGAUAACCGCAUGAAAGUGUGGAUAAUACGGGAUAUUCUGGGUCUGUCGCAUGGUGGGUCUGGGAAAGAUAUUGUUUCGGUGGGGGAUGGGCUCGCGGCCUAUCAGCUUGUUGGUGGGGUGAUGGUCUACCAAGGCGGUGGCGGGUAGCCGGCCUGAGAGGGUGGCCGGCCUGACAGGGACUGAGGCACGGUCCGGACUCCUACGGGAGCCAGCCGUGGGCAAGAUUGAGCAGUGGGCGAAAGCCUGAUGCAGCGGCGCCGCGUGUGGGAUGGAGGCGUUCGGGUUGUGAACCUCUUUCGCUAGUGAAGCAGGCCUGCCUCGUUUGUGGGUGGGUUGACGGUAGCUGGUUAAGAAGCGCCGGCUAACUACGUG